UCUGGCAAUGAUGGCGAAGAGGUCACACCCGUUCCCAUUCCGAACACGGAAGUUAAGUUCUUCAGCGCCGAUGGUAGUUGGGGGUUUCCCCCUGUGAGAGUAGGACGUUGCCGGGC
rnacentral:rRNA from 1 species